rnacentral:rRNA from 1 species
UUAACCUGGCCUUGACAUACUAAGAACUUUCCAGAGAUGGAUUGGUGCCUUCGGAACUUAGAUACAGGUGCUGCAUGGCUGUCGUCAGCUCGUGUCGUGAGAUGUUGGGUUAAGUCCCGCAACGAGCCGCAACCCUUUUCCUUAUUUGCCAGCGGGUUAAGCCGGGAACUUUAAGGAUACUGCCAGUGACAAACUGGAGGAAGGCGGGGACGACGUCAAGUCAUCAUGGCCCUUACGGCCAGGGCUACACACGUGCUACAAUGGUCGGUACAAAGGGUUGCUACCUCGCGAGAGGAUGCUAAUCUCAAAAAGCCGAUCGUAGUCCGGAUCGCAGUCUGCAACUCGACUGCGUGAAGUCGGAAUCGCUAGUAAUCGCGGAUCAGAAUGCCGCGGUGAAUACGUUCCCGGGCCUUGUACACACCGCCCGUCACACCAUGGGAGUUUGUUGCACCAGAAGUAGGUAGUCUAACCGCAAGGAGGACGCUUACCACGGUGUGGCCGAUGACUGGGGUGAAGUCGUAACAAGGUAGGCGUAGAUGA